rnacentral:rRNA from 1 species
AACGAACGCUGGCGGCAUGCCUAACACAUGCAAGUCGAACGAGACCUUCGGGUCUAGUGGCGCACGGGUGCGUAACGCGUGGGAACCUGCCCUUAGGUUCGGAAUAAUUCCCCGAAAGGGGUGCUAAUACCGGAUAAUGUCUUCGGACCAAAGAUUUAUCGCCUUUGGAUGGGCCCGCGUUGGAUUAGCUAGUUGGUAGGGUAAAAGCCUAUCAAGGCGUCGAUCCAUAGCUGGUCUGAGAGGAUGAUCAGCCACACUGGGACUGAGACACGGCCCAGACUCCUGCAGGAGGCAGGAGUGGGGGAUAUUGGACGAUGGGCGAAGGCAUGAUCCAGCUAUGCCGCGUGAGUGAUGAAGGCCUUAGGGUUGUAAAGCUCUUUUACCCGGGAUGAUAAUGACAGUACCGGAAGAAUAAGCUCCGGCUAACUCCGUG